CACGUAGGGGGGCGAGCGUUGUCCGGAUUUAUUGGGCGUAAAGAGCUCGUAGGCGGCUCGGUAAGUCAGGUGUGAAAACUCUAGGCUCAACCUAGAGACGCCACCUGAUACUGCUGUGGCUAGAGUCCGGUAGGGGGAGCAUGGAAUUCCUGGUGUAGCGGUGAAAUGCGCAGAUAUCAGGAGGAACACCAGUGGCGAAGGCGGUGCUCUGGGGCCGGAACUGACGCUGAGGAGCGAAAGCGUGGGGGAGCAAAACAGG
rnacentral:rRNA from 1 species